rnacentral:lncRNA from 1 species
GAUGAACGGGUGUUUUGUAGGGUUGUGUUUCGUCUCAGCGAUCAGCUGGUUGACCUAUAUGUGAGACUUUGCAAGCCGAGUGUGAUGAUCCUGCUUAGAAUCCCAGCAUUUGAGAGGCUGAGCCAGCAAAUUGAUGGCAAGGUUUUACACUCCUUUGAGGUGAGACAGACCAACAGAUAGACACCUGUAAACCAAUGAGUUCCUUUCAGCACCCUGGGAAUUGCAAGCAGAUGAACAGCGGUCCCUGCCCUCAAGAAAACAUGCAAUGAUUUUGUGGCAUGGCAGAGAGCAAAAGGGAUCCUAAGUGUUCAACUCUCUAGAGAGAGUGCUUAUCUCAUCAGCUCCACCUAUGAUGGGAUAUUACACAUAGAUAAUUAAUAAAAUAAAAAGGUUAUAUUUUUACUUUGGCCAACACU